CGCGUAGGUGGUCUGCUAAGCGUGCGGUGAAAGCCCGGGGCUCAACCCCGGGUCGGCCGUGCGAACUGGUGGACUUGAGCACUGUAGAGGCAGGUGGAAUUCCGGGUGUAGCGGUGGAAUGCGUAGAGAUCCGGAAGAACACCGGUGGCGAAGGCGGCCUGCUGGGCAGUAGCUGACACUGAGGCGCGACAGCGUGGGGAGCAAACAGGAUUAGAUACCCUAGUA
rnacentral:rRNA from 1 species